rnacentral:piRNA from 3 species
ACUCUUAAUCUCAGGGUCGUGGGUUCGAG